GAGGGUCGAACUCGCGGCCUUCUCUGUGUGAAAGAGAUGUGAUAACCACUACACCA
rnacentral:tRNA from 1 species